AUUGAACGCUGGCGGCAUGCCUUACACAUGCAAGUCGAACGGUAACAGGUCUUCGGAUGCUGACGAGUGGCGAACGGGUGAGUAAUGUAUCGGAACGUGCCCAGUCGUGGGGGAUAACGCAGCGAAAGCUGUGCUAAUACCGCAUACGAUCUAAGGAUGAAAGCGGGGGACCUGCAAGGGCCUCGCGCGAUUGGAGCGGCUGAUAUCAGAUUAGGUAGUUGGUGAGGUAAAGGCUCACCAAGCCUGCGAUCUGUAGCUGGUCUGAGAGGACGACCAGCCACACUGGAACUGAGACACGGUCCAGACUCCUACGGGAGGCAGCAGUGGGGAAUUUUGGACAAUGGGCGCAAGCCUGAUUCAGCAAUGCCGCGUGCAGGAUGAAGGCCUUCGGGUUGUAAACUGCUUUUGUACGGAACGAAAAGGUUCUCUCUAAUACAGGGGGCUCAUGACGGUACCGUAAGAAUAAGCACCGGCUAACUACGUGCCAGCCGCCGCGGUAACAC
rnacentral:rRNA from 1 species